rnacentral:lncRNA from 1 species
CGCCUCCCGGGUUCCUGCCAUUCUCAAAGUGCUGGGAUUACAGGCAUGAACCACUGCGCCAGGCCCAAUUUUGUUUGUUUGUUUUGUUUUGUUUUGUUGUUUUGGGAAAGGGUGGCGUGGAGAAGACUGGGAAACAACCAGUGGUCACCAGAGCUGUAGCACCUCCUUCACCUCUGAGCUCUGGGGCUGGGAACCCCAGGCUUCGGGGACCACUGUGGAGGACGCAGGUGGCCCCCUCUUUCCUGACAUCUCAGGAGAGGGAGCGGCAACCGGUUAGGGGAAGAAAAGAACAGGAAGGUUAUACAGCCAGGUGGGGAAGGGGCCAACUCCCUGAAAAACCCCUUCCCAGAGUUCUUCUUCAAGCGCAGGGUACCCAAGAGUCAAGGCCCCGCCCCCUUUCCAGUGGCCCCUUUUCUACUUAGGUGACCGCUCCUGGCUGGGAUGGGAGGUAGAUGGACCGGGGGGUGGAGGGGGCGGAGGAGGAGGGGAAGGGAGAGGCAGUGGAUGAAGGACAAUGGAAGAGAUGACAUCCCACUUGGCUCAUUCAUCCCAUUCAGGUCCCCAAGCCCCCACCUGGACUGCCAGUGCCAACCUCAGAGGGAGGAAGAGGGAGCUCGGCUUAGAAGGCUGAGGCCCUGCCCCCUGGGCCACACCAAUCGUGUGGCCUUCCUUCUCCCCACGGAAGGCCAGACCAUGGACACCUCCUGAGCUGGAUGUCAUCCCCCAUCUCCACCCUCUUUUCUUUUUCUUUCUUUCUUUCUUUUUUUUUUUGAGAUGGAGUCUCGCUCUGUCGUGCAGGCUGGAGUGCAGUGGCGUGAUCUCUGCUCACCGCAACCUCCCGCUCCCAGGUUCACUCCAUUCCCCUGCAAGCGCCCGCCACCAAGGCCGGAUAACUUUCCGUAUUUUUAGUAGAGACGGGGUUUCACCGUGUUAGCCAGGAUGGUCUCGA